UACGUAGGGUGCAAGCGUUGUCCGGAAUUAUUGGGCGUAAAGAGCUCGUAGGCGGUCUGUCGCGUCGGCUGUGAAAACCCGGAGCUCAACUCCGGGCCUGCAGUCGAUACGGGCAGACUGGAGUUCGGCAGGGGAGAGCUGGAAUUCCUGGUGUAGCGGUGAAAUGCGCAGAUAUCAGGAGGAACACCGGUGGCGAAGGCGGGUCUCUGGGCCGAUACUGACGCUGAGGAGCGAAAGCGUGGGGAGCGAACAGG
rnacentral:rRNA from 1 species